CACGUAGGGCGCGAGCGUUGUCCGGAAUUAUUGGGCGUAAAGAGCUCGUAGGCGGUCUGUCGCGUCUGCUGUGAAAACCCGAGGCUCAACCUCGGGCCUGCAGUGGGUACGGGCAGACUAGAGUGCGGUAGGGGAGAAUGGAAUUCCUGGUGUAGCGGUGGAAUGCGCAGAUAUCAGGAGGAACACCGAUGGCGAAGGCAGUUCUCUGGGCCGUAACUGACGCUGAGGAGCGAAAGCGUGGGGAGCGAACAGG
rnacentral:rRNA from 1 species